CAUAUGAAUGCUUUUACUAAUCUGAAGCUUUUCCCAAGGGAUCUAGUUCUUUAACCAGUUGCAUUAUUAAUAUUUUAACAACUUUUGUCUUCUAUUAUUUGGUGUGUUCAGGAUUGUGCAUUGGCUGUUGAAUCUUUUUGUCAUGCAUCUAGAUUAAAUGCUAAAGAUUUCAAGGCUAUAGAUUAAUCUUUAAAGAGUCUGAUCAUUAACUCUAUAGAGCUUGCUAAGGUUUGGGAGAGGGUACUUAUGUGCAAUGGUUUGUCAAAAGGAAAUGUAUGUGCAAUAUUCUUUAAUUGUUAAAGUUGAGCUUCGAACAAAGUUAUGGUUUGUCUGGUUAUCAUUCAAUUCCUAAAUCUAAUUAUCAUAUUUGUCUUCAUAUGCAUAGAACCAAAUUUCUGAUGUUUGUGUUAUCACCAUCCCCACCUUGAAUUCGUUUUUGGUAGGAUUUCAAGUAUUACCUAAUUGAUUCUUAAUUCAAAUUUUAAUAUUAGUGUUAUUAUGCAUUAUGAAAAAAUAUUUUGUCAUUUAUAAUACAAGCACUUCACUUGAAUUCUUUGAUGGUGAGAAUUCAACUUCUACAUUCUGAUGUUGCAGUUGAAUUAACACGAUAAGCAAUUCAAAGCGGAGAUGGCGGUACCUCAAACAGCACAAGUGAUGUUCUUCUUAUGCAUAUUAAAAACUAACAUGGAAACUGCAACUAGGAAUUGAAUAUGAAUUGAGCAAUGUAUGAUUUUCAGAAAUUUAAGAUUGUUUACAUAAAGGCCGGGCUUAAUCUAUAAAUGGCAAAAUGCAGUAACUUAAAUCCAUGGUAUCAAUAUGUCCUUUUAGCUUCAGUGUGGCACAACUUCAUGCUUCCCUCGCAUGAUAUGUUUUAAAUGAAUCACUCUAGAAUUGUGUAUAUUUUUCAUAGAGCAAGUCUUCUAAUUAAUUUAUUUUUUGGGUAACAUACAAGAAACAUGGCUUCUAUUUUACUGAUCAUGUCACUGUAUUAUAGAAGAACAUCAUUUACUUGUGAAAAGACAAUCAGUCAGAUUUUUUUAAUAUGCUGUUGGAAUGGUCAUAUGACCUGAAAGCUGAUUUAUUGCAACCCAAUUUAAUUUCAUCUCAAUGUUAUGUCAAUGCUAAUUGAAAUUGAAUUCACUUCUUAUCCUACUUAGAUGAGGCUUCUCAUAGUCAAAUUUUGCCACAAAAUGUGGAACUGUCGGAUCCUCAUGCAUCUGCAGUUCCUGGACAGAGAGUAAAAUUUGAAGCAGAGAGGACAUCUGCAAUUCCUGAACGGAGAGUAAGAUUUGAAGCAGAGAGGGCAUCAGCAGUUCCUGAACCUAGAGUAAAAUUUGAACUAGAGAGGGCAUCAGCAGUUCCUGAGAGGUUAAAAGCAGUGCCUGCAUCUAGAGAGGAGGAACCUGUCCCAAAAUCAAAAUCUGGAUUUGACAGUUCUAAGGCUUUCACAGGUUCCAUCAUUGAGCGCAGUCAGAAUUUAGAAACAAACGCACAGGGGAAAAAUGCAACUUCCUCUCAGCUGUCAUCCGGUGCUCAACCUUCCAAGCCAGUUUCUAGAUUCAAGAUGCAAAGAAGGUAGUUUUCGAUACCUGAAUAUAGAUGACUGUGAAAAUCGUGCCUCUUUUAUAUCCCAAGCGGCGUAGACAUAGUGGAUCAAUGUCAAUGAAGCGGUGUUACAAGAGAAGGUUGUCAGCUACCGUCCUCAUCUUAUAAUCAUUUUUGGUUUGUAAUUUAUUGGUAAAAUGUAAAAAGAUUUAAAAAUAGAAGAUUGCAUCAACCUUUUAAACAUCUAAUGUGCAUUAACAUCCGGAUGCAGGAAAAUAUUUUCUCGGUUA